rnacentral:rRNA from 1 species
UACGUAGGUGACAAGCGUUGUCCGGAUUUACUGGGCGUAAAGCGCGCGCAGGCGGUCCCUUAAGUCUGAUGUGAAAGCCCACGGCUCAACCGUGGAGGGUCAUUGGAAACUGGGGGACUUGAGUACAGAAGAGGAAAGCGGAAUUCUCGGUGUAGCGGUGAAAUGCGUAGAUAUCGAGAGGAACACCUGCGGCGAAGGCGGGUUGCUGGGCUGACACUGACGCUGAACUGCGAAAGCUAGGGGAGCGAACGGG